CAACUUAACAACCUUUUUAAUUUUCAAUCAGCGUCUGAAUAAUUAUAAUAAUUACAACUUUCAACAACGGAUCUCUUGGUUCUGGCAUCGAUGAAGAACGCAGCGAAAUGCGAUAAGUAGUGUGAAUUGCAGAAUUCAGUGAAUCAUCGAAUCUUUGAACGCACAUUGCGCCCCUUGGUAUUCCAUGGGGCAUGCUUGUUCGAGCGUCAUUU
rnacentral:rRNA from 1 species